GACGAACGCUGGCGGCGUGCUUAACACAUGCAAGUCGAGCGGUAAGGCCCUUUCGGGGGUACACGAGCGGCGAACGGGUGAGUAACACGUGGGUGACCUGCCUCUAGCUCUGGGAUAAGCCUGGGAAACUGGGUCUAAUACCGGAUAUGACUCCACGGCGCAUGUUGUGGGGUGGAAAGCCUUGUGUGGCUAGAGAUGGGCCCGCGGCCUAUCAGCUUGUUGGUGGGGUGAUGGCCACCAAGGCGACGACGGGUAGCCGGCCUGAGAGGGCGACCGGCCGACACUGGGACUGAGACACGGCCCAGACUCCUACGGGAGGCAGCAGUGGGGAAUCUUGCGCAAUGGGCGAAAGCCUGACGCAGCGACGCCGCGUGAGGGAUGACGGCCUCGGUUGUAA
rnacentral:rRNA from 1 species